rnacentral:tRNA from 1 species
GCCUGUCUAGCUCAGUCAUUAGGGUAUGUGACUCUUGAUUUCAAGGUCAUGAGUUCAAGCCCCAGGUCAGGCA